rnacentral:sRNA from 12 species
UUCCUUGGGGUAUAUCCGGCUUCGAGUGGCCCAUUGAGGAAGGAGACGUGGCUCGGCAGGGCAUUGAAGUUUAAAUUUAAAAUUCCGAAUUGCU